UACGAAGGGGGCUAGCGUUGUUCGGAUUUACUGGGCGUAAAGCGCACGUAGGCGGAUCGUUAAGUCAGGGGUGAAAUCCUGGAGCUCAACUCCAGAACUGCCUUUGAUACUGGCGAUCUUGAGUCCGGAAGAGGUGAGUGGAACUCCUAGUGUAGAGGUGGAAUUCGUAGAUAUUAGGAAGAACACCAGUGGCGAAGGCGGCUCGCUGGUCCGGUACUGACGCUGAGGUGCGAAAGCGUGGGGAGCAAACAGG
rnacentral:rRNA from 1 species